CCUCCGCAAGGAAGCAGCUUCCGGAGAGCAAGCUGGUCUGGUGCUGACUGAACUCACGUGUAGCUUCUAUGGGAUCUGUUAAGAUUUGGUGACAGUGUGGAGAAGCACGGCUCUUGCGGCUGCCACUGGCAGACACAAUCCUCGUAGUGUCACUUCUCCAUCACCAGAAGAUGUUGCAGAUUGCAAGCUCUGAAGAAAAGUUUCUGUGAAAUUUUCAAUCAUCCAGAAAUUGAAAUUGCUAGUUUUAUAAAUUCUGACCAAUAAUAUAAAUAAGCACUUUAUGAUUCGAAAGAUUUUUUAAAAUUCUUGAAUGUUUAUUUUUAUUUUGCAUGUUGAACUCCCUCAUGGAAAUAGACAUUUAUGUAAAAAUUGUUAUAAAUAUUGAAUAUUAAAACUGGAU